UCAACAUCCACAAGAGUGGAUCUCUGCAUCCUUCUCCUCUACAAGCACCACAGACCACGAAGUUGUGUGCUGACAGUUCUUCUUCCACCCUUACGCGUUCCGCCCUGCCCCUUCGGUGCCUCAUUAUUCUCCCACUCUAGCAUAGGUGGUAAGCCAUUGGUUCCUCUCUCCUGUGUGUGUGUGUUUGAUGCUAUGUAUAUAUAAUUUGAUGUUGUUUGGAUUAAUGGUUCCACUGCUACUGAAUGAAUCGAGAGAAUUAUGGGCAUGUACCUAUUCAUUUUUAAAAACCUUUCAAUUAUGCAUGGAAACUAUCAAAUUGUGGGCAUGUACGUGUUUAUUUACCAAACCUUGCAAAUAUGAAUGGACUAACCAAUGGGAAGAUAGUUUUGUGGGACCAACCAUAUGAUUGCUUUAGAUAAUAGUAAUUCAGGUAAAGGUUCUUUUAUGUGCAAAAUAUAAAAUGGACAAUUCACCUUCUCUAGUAGUUUGGGGAUGUCAACACCUACAGUUUUCUUCAUAUGCCAACAAUUUUAUAUUGGAUACAUUCAUAUAUUGGGUAAAUGCAACUAAAUAUCAUCAUGAAAAUUUGAGGUGCUCACAAAAUUUUACUAGAUUAGUUUUUCAUGCCAGAUUCGGAUUCAACCAAGUGAGGAUUCCAACUUGGUCACAUAAUAAGAAAACGCCUUGCCGUCCUCUUCUACCAAAAGCACAUCACCUCUUUAGCUCUUGCCUGUUUCCCGGUAUAAGAACAUUCUUAAAACCAUUUCUUGGAGAAAAUACAUUUUAAUUUGAUUGUGGCAUUUAAAUUGUUUAGGUUGAAAUUUUCUCUUAGUUUAUGGUGGCAUUUCAAAUACUGAUUCUUGCCAAUAUUAUAUCAUCGCAGAUUACAUAACCAAAUUCUGCAUUAUCUCAGUACCUUUGUAUUCAUGAUUUGCACUUCUCUAUGUCUUGAUUCCUCCAUUUCAGGUGAUGCUUCAUGCCGGAUUGGAUACUUUCUUAGUAUUUCAUAAUGUUUGAGCUUUAACUUGCCGUUUGGAGGAGCCUUGUUCAAUGACUGGUUAGCAUGUUGUUGUGACCCUGGUUGAAUAUGUAUGCAUAUGUGGACUUCGAACUCAUGGCCCUUUCGUUAGUGAACUCUUGUUACAUAUGUAGACAUGUUAUUGUAAACCUUUGUUGGAUAUGUAUAGAUGUGUG
rnacentral:lncRNA from 1 species